UCGUGGAAAGUAAAAGGUGGUUCACAGUAUAGGCUCCAAAAGCUAUACCCGAUAUGCUAGUGAGUGGGAAAAAAAGACAGGCGCUUUGCCAAGUCGAGCACAAUUAUUUGUAAAUACCCACAAACGUAAGAAUGGCACACAUUUGAACAAUGAAACGGAAAAAAUAGUGAUUGAAAUGGAGGAGCUCCUUACCCAAGACCCCACCUCCAGACUAGGAGGUACUGGAGGGACCAUGACUUGGGCUACUAAUGAUAUUUAUUCCAAGGUCAUGGGCCCAGAAUGUCAUGAGCGAGUGCGUGGUUUAGGUUUUGGGCAAACCACAAAAAAGGGGUGCAGCAUGCAUUCAACAUCUACAUCAACAUCCACUGACAUUAGCCAAAUUGCCAAUAUGCUAUCGGUGAUGGAGAUGAUGCAGAACGAGUUAACUGUGUUCAAAAACAUGUUUUAUGACUACAUUCAAGCACAAGUUACUAAAAAAAGUAGUUUCAUAUGAACUAGCUUCAGUUUUAUUUAUUAUAAGUAAUUUUAUGCAUUUAUCUUUGAU